rnacentral:pre_miRNA from 1 species
UACUUUUAACUUUGAAAAGAUCCCUGUUGGGCUGAAAUUUCUCAUACUUAGUCUCAGCCCAAAGGGUUAUUUUAAAGUUUAAAU